rnacentral:rRNA from 1 species
CGGCAAUGGAGGAAACUCUGACCGAGCAACGCCGCGUGAACGACGAAGUACUUUGGUAUGUAAAGUUCUUUUAUCAAGGAAGAAAAGCAAGUGGCGAACCAUUUGUUUGCCGGCACUUGAUGAAUAAGCCCCGGCUAAUUAUGUGCCAGCAGCCGCGGUAAGACAUAAGGGGCAAGUGUUAUCCGGAAUUAUUGGGCGUAAAGGGUGCGUAAGCGGUCUAGUAAGUCAGUGGUGUAAUGGCAACGCUCAACGUUGUCCGGCUAUUGAAACUGCUAAACUUGAGUUAGAUAGAGGCGAGUGGAAUUCCAUGUGUAGCGGUAAAAUGCGUAAAUAUAUGGAGGAACACCAGAGGCGUAGGCGGCUCGCUGGGUCUUAACUGACGAUGAGGCACGAAAGCGUGGGGAGCAAACAGGAUUAGAUACCCUGGUAGUCCACGCCGUAAACGAUGAGUACUAAGUGUCGGGUUAAACCGGUACUGAAGUUAACACAUUAAGUACUCCGCCUGAGUAGUACGUACGCAAGUAUGAAACUUAAAGGACAUGACGGGACUCCGCACAAGCGGUGGAUCAUGUUGUUUAAUUCGAAGAUACCCGAAAAACCUUACCAGGUCUUGACAUGUUUUUGCAAAACGGUAGUAAUAUCGUAGAGGUUAUCAGAAACACAGGUGGUGCAUGGUUGUCGUCAGCUCGUGUCGUGAGAUGUUAGGUUAAGUCCUAAAACGAGCGAAACCCUUAUCGUUAGUUGCCAGCACGUUAUGGUGGGGACUUUAACGAGACUGCCAAUGAUAAACUGGCGGAAGGUGAGGAUCACGUCAAAUCAGCAUGCCCCUUAUGACCUGGGCUACAAACGUGAUACAAUGGCUGUUACAAAGAGUAGCUGAA